rnacentral:siRNA from 1 species
CAAUCAUUGUACCCGCUAGUUGCC